GGGAGAGAAAUGAAGGACCUCCCAGCUCUAGGUCUGCCAGAGAGAGAUGGGAUACUUCCUUGUCCUCCACAAGGAAGAUCAUCAUUAUAACUAUACUCUGACCUCUCCUACCCCCAGUUGCCCUGGCACACUUGGAGACCUGGGAAGUCACAGGUGGGCCGUGGAAGGCUCAGCAUAUGCCUCUCCUUGUAAGCAGGCAGCCCUGAAGCAGCUUCCUAGGAACAAGGUCCCCAACAUGGCGGUGAUGAUCAAGUCCCUGACUCGGAGCACAAUGGACGCCAGUGUGGUUUUCAAGGACCCCACGGGAGAGAUGCAGGGGACGGUGCACAGGUUGCUGCUGGAGACGCACCAGAAUGAGCUGAAGCCUGGCUCAGUGCUGCUGCUGAAGCAGAUUGGAGUGUUUUCUCCUUCACUUCGAAAUCACUACCUCAACGUGACACCCAACAACCUGGUCCAUAUUUACAGCCCGGAUUCUGGGGAUGGGAGCUUCCUCAAGCCAUCUCAGCCCUUCCCCAAGGAUUCAGGGAGCUUCCAGCAUGAUGUGGCUGCAAAGCCCGAGGAAGGCUUCAGAACAGCACAGAACCUAGAGGCAGAGGCAUCCCCUGAGGAAGAACUCCCAGAAGCAGAUGACCUGGAUGGACUCCUGAGUGAGCUUCCUGAAGACUUCUUCUGUGAGACCAGUAGUUGAGACUGCCCCAGCGCAGGACAACCCACCGUGAGCAGGCAGCUCUGGGCAUGUCUGGUCACAUCCAAGAGGG
rnacentral:sRNA from 1 species